UAGGAAUUGUGUUCACCAACG
ensembl:piRNA 21ur-4649 ncRNA